rnacentral:lncRNA from 1 species
AGCAAUAGUGGCGUUUUUGGUCCAAACUCCGCGAAUAUGUAUUAUUUUUUGCAAAACAACGUUGUUUUGUUAGCCCCGAAAUGCUUAAGUCUUUUUCCCAAAAUUGGUUCCCCCUCCCCAAAAUCCCUAAGUAAUUUCCCCAAAACCCUUCCCCUUUUUCCCCAAUUCAUUUGCCCCAAAUCAGUUCACCCCCGAAAUCC